GCUCCUGUGGCCUAGUGGUUAGAGCAUCCACCUUGGAUGUGUGAGGUCAUGGGUUUGAAUCUUGUCCAAGUCAUAUUAGAGACA